AACGCACAUUGCGCCCUUUGGUAUUCCGAAGGGCAUGCCUGUUCGAGCGUCAUUAAACUCUCACGCAUCAGCUUGGUGUUGGGAAAUGUCCCCUUAAUAAAGGACCUUCCCGUAACCUCUUUGGUGGUACCUUAACCUGGCUUCAAGCGUAGCAGAAAAACCUCGCUUGGUUGUCGUUUAGGACCUGCCAGUUUAAUUUCCGUAAAAAGUUUGACCUCGGAUCAGGUAGGGAUACCCGCUGAACUUAU
rnacentral:misc_RNA from 1 species